ACAGCCCCAUUUUUUAAACACAUAGCUUUACUAACUCUCAAACUCAUUUAUCUAACUCACACACCUCUCUCUCUCUCAGCACCUCUCGCAGCUCGGUCUCAACACCUUUGUGUCUCUCUUUUCACCUCUGUCUCUCCGGACACCACCGUCUUUCUCCAUUUUCUCGUCCCUUUCAAUUUAAUUACAAAAUAAGGCUUAAUUGAUUGGUAGAUUUAAAAUUAGACUCGAAUAUUGGAGGGGUCGAGGCUUGGGUUCUUCAAAUUAGGGCUCCAUUCUCACACUUUAUCUUUGAUUUUAAUGUUUUUUUCUUAGAGGUUUCUAUUUGAAAUUAUCUUUUAAUUAAACUCUCUUUUUGUUUACAGGGCUUCUUCAAUUCGGCGUUGCAUCUCAAGGAUUUCAUUGCAGGGUUUUAUAUACAUAUCUUCCGUAACUGAAGUGAUGAUGAUACAUCUUCAACAUGGUCAGGCCUCUGCAACAUGUAUAAAGAAGCAAACAGAGCAUAACAUAUGUUUUUUAGUAGAUUACCAUAUUUGCUAAUUGUGUGGUUAUUUGAAGAAUUGUAUAGUUAUUGUUAUGGAUUGGAUGUUAGUUUUAGUAGUUGGUAAAUCGGAUGUAUAAUUAGUUGGAUGUUAGAUGUUUUAGUAGUUGGAUGUUGGAUGUUUGGUGUAUGGAUUUUAAGUAUUUAUUAGAAUGGUUUAUUUUGGAAA